GUAGUCCACGCUGUAAACGAUGGAUACUUGUUGUUAGAGGUAUUGACCCCUCUAGUGACGGAGCUAACGCGUUAAGUAUCCCGCCUGGGGAGUACGGUCGCAAGAUUAAAACUCAAAGAAAUUGACGGGGGCCCGCACAAGCGGUGGAGCAUGUGGUUUAAUUCGAUGCAACGCGAAGAACCUUACCCGGGCUUGACAUGAACUGGAAGAGUGGCAGAGAUGUCCUCGCUCGCAAGAGUCGGUUCACAGGUGCUGCAUGGCUGUCGUCAGCUCGUGUCGUGAGAUGUUGGGUUAAGUCCCGCAACGAGCGCAACCCUUACCAGUAGUUGUCAGCAUUUAGUUGGACACUCUACUGGGACUGCCUGCGUUAAGCAGGAGGAAGGUGGGGAUGACGUCAAGUCCUCAUGGCCCUUAUGUCCGGGGCUACACACGUGCUACAAUGGUGGUCACAGAGGGAAGCCAAGCCGCGAGGUGGAGCAAAUCCCUUAAAAGCCAUCUAAGUUCAGAUUGGUCUCUGCAACUCGAGACCAUGAAGUUGGAAUCGCUAGUAAUCGCGGAUCAGAACGCCGCGGUGAAUACGUUCCCGGGCCUUGUACACACCGCCCGUCACACCAUGAAAGUUGGUCGUACCAGAAGUCGCUGUGCUAACCGCAAGGAGGUAGGCGCCCAAGGUAUGGUCGAUGAUUGGGGUG
rnacentral:rRNA from 1 species